rnacentral:rRNA from 1 species
GUAGGGUGCGAGCGUUAUCCGGAAUCAUUGGGCGUAAAGAGCUCGUAGGCGGUUCAGCAAGUCGGCUGUGAAAUUCCGAGGCUCAACCUCGGAACUGCAGUCGAUACUGUUGUGACUCGAGUCCGGUAGAGGAGAAUGGAAUUCCCGGUGUAGCGGUGAAAUGCGCAGAUAUCGGGAGGAACACCAGUAGCGAAGGCGGUUCUCUGGGCCGGCACUGACGCUGAGGAGCGAAAGCGUGGGGUAGCAAACAGGAUUAGAUACCCUGGUAGUCCACGCCCGUAAACGUUGGAUACUAGGUGUGGGGUUCCGACCAACGGUCCCCGUGCCGAAGCUAACGCAUUAAGUAUCCCCGCCUGGGGAGUACGGCCGCAAGGCUA